rnacentral:rRNA from 1 species
UACGUAGGGGGCAAGCGUUGUCCGGAUUUAUUGGGCGUAAAGAGCGUGUAGGCGGUUAGGUAGGUCCGUUGUGAAAACUCGAGGCUCAACCUCGAGACGCCGAUGGAAACCAUCUGACUAGAGUCCGGAAGAGGAGAGUGGAAUUCCGGGUGUAGUGGUGAAAUGCGUAGAGAUCCGGAGGAACACCAGUGGCGAAGGCGACACGCUGGGUCACACCUGACGCUAAAGCGCGACAGCAUGGGGAGCGAACGGG